rnacentral:rRNA from 1 species
GAUGAACGCUGGCGGCGUGCCUAAUACAUGCAAGUCGAACGCUGAAGGGGGAGCUUGCUCUUCUGGAUGAGUUGCGAACGGGUGAGUAACGCGUAGGUAACCUGCCUGGUAGCGGGGGAUAACUAUUGGAAACGAUAGCUAAUACCGCAUGACAACAGUUAUUGCAUGAUAACUGUUUAAAAGGGGCAACUGCUCCACUACCAGAUGGACCUGCGUUGUAUUAGCUAGUUGGUGAGGUAACGGCUCACCAAGGCGACGAUACAUAGCCGACCUGAGAGGGUGAUCGGCCACACUGGGACUGAGACACGGCCCAGACUCCUACGGGAGGCAGCAGUAGGGAAUCUUCGGCAAUGGACGGAAGUCUGACCGAGCAACGCCGCGUGAGGGAAGAAGGGUUUCGGAUCGUAAAGCUCUGUUGUAAGAGAAGAACGAGUGUGAGAGUGGAAAGUUCACACUGUGACGGUAGCUUACCAGAAAGGGACGGCUAACUACGUG